UACGAAGGGUGCAAGCGUUAAUCGGAAUUACUGGGCGUAAAGCGCACGUAGGUGGCUUGAUAAGUUGGAUGUGAAAUCCCCGGGCUCAACCUGGGAACUGCAUCCAAAACUGUCUGGCUAGAGUGUGGUAGAGGGUAGUGGAAUUUCCAGUGUAGCGGUGAAAUGCGUAGAUAUUGGAAGGAACACCAGUGGCGAAGGCGACUACCUGGACUAACACUGACACUGAGGUGCGAAAGCGUGGGGAGCAAACAGG
rnacentral:rRNA from 1 species